rnacentral:tRNA from 1 species
GGACAGGUGGCUGAGUGGUCGAUAGCGUUGCUCUCGAAAAGCAAAGUGGGGGUAACUCCACCGUGGGUUCGAAUCCCACCCUGUCCGCCA